rnacentral:rRNA from 1 species
AGAGUUUGAUCCUGGCUCAGGAUGAACGCUGGCGGCGUGCCUAACACAUGCAAGUCGAACGUGAUCUACUUCGGUAGUGAAAGUGGCGCACGGGUGAGUAACACGUAGCUUAUCUGCCCCAAAGUGGGGGAUAACAGAUCGAAAGGUCUGCUAAUACCCCAUAAGCUCACGAGGGAUAGCCCCCUAGUGAGAAAAGCUCCGACGCUUUGGGAGGAGGCUGCGGCCCAUCAGCUAGUUGGCGAGGUAACGGCUCACCAAGGCAACGACGGGUAGGGGGCCUGAGAGGGUGAUCCCCCACACUGGAACUGAGACACGGUCCAGACUCCUACGGGAGGCAGCAGUGAGGAAUAUUGCUCAAUGGGCGCAAGCCUGAAGCAGCGACGCCGCGUGGGCGAUGAAGGUCUUCGGAUCGUAAAGCCCUUUUCACCGGGACGAGUAAGGACGGUACCGGUGGAAUAAGUGUCGGCUAACUACGUGCCAGCAGCCGCGGUAAAACGUAGGACGCAAGCGUUAUCCGGAAUUACUGGGCGUAAAGCGCGUGUAGGCGGGUGUUUAAGUCACUGUUGAAAGCUCCUGGCUAAACUGGGAGAGGUGCGGUGAUACUGGACAUCUUGAGGGGGUCAGAGGGAGGCAGAAUUCCGGGUGUAGUGGUGAAAUGCGUAGAGAUCCGGAGGAAUACCAGAGGCGAAGGCGGCCUCCUGGGACUUACCUGACGCUGAGACGCGAAAGCAUGGGGAGCGAACGGGAUUAGAGACCCCGGUAGUCCAUGCCGUAAACGAUGCAGAUUAGAUGUGCGUAGGUCUACGGAUCUAUGUGUGUCGUAGCUAACGCGAUAAAUCUGCCGCCUGGGGAGUACGGUCCAAGGCUAAAACUCAAAGGAAUUGACGGGGGCCCGCACAAGCAGCGGAGCGUGUGGUUUAAUUCGAGGCUACACGAAAAACCUUACCUAGGUUUGACAUCCUCUGAACGACCGUGAAAGCGGAAGGUCCUUCGGGACAGAGAGACAGGUGCUGCAUGGCUGUCGUCAGCUCGUGUCGUGAGAUGUUCGGUUAAGUCCGAAAACGAGCGCAACCCUCGGUGCAUGUUACAAGUGUCAUGCACAACUGCCGGCGGCAAGCCGGAGGAAGGUGGGGAUGAUGUCAAGUCAGCAUGGCCUUUAUAUCUAGGGCUACACACACGCUACAAUGGACAGUACACUGGGUCGCCAAGCCGCGAGGCGGAGCCAAUCCUGAAAGCUGUUCGUAGUUCGGAUUGCAGGCUGCAACUCGCCUGCAUGAAGCUGGAGUUGCUAGUAACCGUGUAUCAGCAUGACGCGGUGAAUACGUUCCCGGGCCUUGUACACACCGCCCGUCACGUCAUGAGAGUUAGUCACGCCUGAAGUCGGGAAGGUAACUGCAAAGAGCCUACCGCCGAAGGCAGGGCUGAUGAUUGGGACGAAGUCGUAACAAGGUA